rnacentral:rRNA from 1 species
AGCGAACAGACGAGGAGCUUUCUCCUCUGACGUUAGCGGCGGACGGGUGAGUAACACGUGGAUAACCUACCUAUAAGACUGGGAUAACUUCGGGAAACCGGAGCUAAUACCGGAUAACAUGUUGAACCGCAUGGUUUAACAGUGAAAGACGGUCUUUCUGUCACUUAUAGAUGGAUCCGCGCCGCAUUAGCUAGUUGGUAAGGUAACGGCUUACCAAGGCAACGAUGCGUAGCCGACCUGAGAGGGUGAUCGGCCACACUGGAACUGAGACACGGUCCAGACUCCUACGGGAGGCAGCAGUAGGGAAUCUUCCGCAAUGGGCGAAAGCCUGACGGAGCAACGCCGCGUGAGUGAAGAAGGUCUUCGGAUCGUAAAACUCUGUUAUUAGGGAAGAACAAAUGUGUAAGUAACUAUGCACGUCUUUACGGUACCUAAUCAGAAAGCCACGGCUAACUACGUGCCAGCAGCCGCGGUAAUACGUAGGUGGCAAGCGUUAUCCGGAAUUAUUGGGCGUAAAGCGCGCGUAGGCGGUUUUUUAAGUCUGAUGUGAAAGCCCACGGCUCAACCGUGGAGGGUCAUUGGAAACUGGAAAACUUUAGUGCAGAAGAGGAAAGUGGAAUUCCAUGUGUAGCGGUGAAAUGCGCAGAGAUAUGGAGGAACACCAGUGGCGAAGGCGACUUUCUGGUCUGUAACUGACGCUGAUGUGCGAAAGCGUGGGGA